rnacentral:rRNA from 1 species
UACGGAGGGUGCGAGCGUUGUUCGGAAUCACUGGGCGUAAAGGGCGUGUAGGCGGUCCGCUAAGUCUGAUGUGAAAGCCCGGGGCUCACCCCCGGAAGGGCAUUGGAAACUGGCGGACUCGAGUCCCGGAGAGGAAGGUGGAAUUCCUGGUGUAGCGGUGAAAUGCGUAGAGAUGUGGAGGAACACCGAUGGCGAAGGCAGCCUCCUGGGCCAAUACUGACGCUCAUGCACGAAAGCGUGGGGAGCAAACAGG